GAUGAACGCUGGCGGCGUGCCUAAUACAUGCAAGUCGAGCGAACGGACGAGAAGCUUGCUUCUCUGAUGUUAGCGGCGGACGGGUGAGUAACACGUGGAUAACCUACCUAUAAGACUGGGAUAACUUCGGGAAACCGGAGCUAAUACCGGAUGAUAUUUUGAACCGCAUGGUUCAAAAGUGAAAGACGGCCUUGCUGUCACUUAUAGAUGGAUCCGCGCUGCAUUAGCUAGUUGGUAAGGUAACGGCUUACCAAGGCAACGAUGCAUAGCCGACCUGAGAGGGUGAUCGGCCACACUGGAACUGAGACACGGUCCAGACUCCUACGGGAGGCAGCAGUAGGGAAUCUUCCGCAAUGGGCGAAAGCCUGACGGAGCAACGCCGCGUGAGUGAUGAAGGUCUUCGGAUCGUAAAACUCUGUUAUUAGGGAAGAACAUAUGUGUAAGUAACUGUGCACAUCUUGACGGUACCUAAUCAGAAAGCCACGGCUAACUAC
rnacentral:rRNA from 1 species